CCUUCCCUCAUUUCUUUCACUUGUCUCCUCUCCAGUCGACGGCAACCCUCGACAGCAACCCUUCCUCCCUCGCAUUCGAGCCUUCUCACCAUCGCCGCUCUCACGAUCCAGGCUCCGCUUUGCCCUCCAACACUCCCAUCUGCCCUCCUUCCCAUUUAAAGCCCAUCUUCCCCUCUGCCCUCCAACUCUCCCAUCUGCCCUCCUUCCCAUUUAAAGCCCAUCUUCCCCUCUGCCCUCCAACGUUUGUGCCUUGUCUCCCGGCCGAGCUAACUUUAAUCUCAUGCCUUUUCUGUUAAUUUCUUGUAUUUUUGGAAUUUUGAUUCGUGUUGUUUUUUGUUUUGGCAUUUUUCUAUACAACAACAGGGAGCAAUAACGGUAAUGCUUAUAUUCCUAUCUGUUUCCAUUGAUCACUUGUUCGGUAAAUUUGAAUGGGCUGAAGUCAUCUACUCAAUUGUUUAUCCAUGAUUCGACUCUCUCUUCCUGUGAAAACCAGAUUCAGCCGCUACCCACAUAUAAUUUGACAAAAUCGACAGAUCUGCUAUUGAUACUGAUUCAGCUUUCUGUUUUAAAUUUUAAAUUCAAAGAAAGGCGAGGUAAAUAUUUUGGCUUUUACUUCUACUGGAGAGGUUCCUAUUCGGUACUUCCAAUGAUUGUUAUUCUGUAUAUUCAGAAUUGCUAUUAAACAUUAGUGUGACAAGGUUCUGGCUUCGAUUUUUCAGGUUGAGGAUACUUACUACUUUUGGAUUUUUCCUCUGGUUGUUACUGACAUGAAUUUGGAAUAAAUCUUGCUGGUGGUUUAAGUAUAUGGUCUGUGGCUGCUGAUGGAUUUUUCCUCUCGUUGUUACUGACAUGAAUUUGUAAGAACUAUGAAAUAAUCUUCUUCUGUGGCAUUUAAAUCUUUCCUAUCAUCAGAGGUUGCAGAACCAGCUCCCCCCUGCUCUAGAGAAAGAUUCAAGAGUUUCUACUAACAGAGAUGCUGUUCUUGCAAAGGUUGAAAGUGAGAAGAAACUGUCCCUGAUCAAAGCAUGGGAAGAGAAUGAAAAGGCAAAAGCUGAGAACAAGUAUGGUGCUGUCCUUUCAAAUAGUUGAACACUUGAUGUAUCUUUCGGGCAGUGUCAAUGAAUUACUAAACAGCAGAUGCCAUGUGAACGGCUAGAAAGUGUUUUAAGUGCAUAAGAAGAGUCGACAAGAUUUGAGAUGCCGUGUAACUAAAAUUUGUUUUGCCUUUAUGUGGUUCAUGAAUUUUAUGAUUGUGAAAGAUCAAUGAUCUAUUCUUGAAGUUUCAAUUGCUUUUA